AGAAAUAUAUAUUUAGCACUCAUGGCAGCAAGACACAUGGGAGACACUGAGCCGUACACUCAAGAAUUCUGCAAGGAUGACCUCUGUCCUUGCAGAGGCAGAAAGGAAUCAGACCUUCAACAACUAAGGACCCUGAGAAGAAUAUAAUUGCAAGAAAACCACUCUGACCAUGGUGUGGAGAAUGGAAUGUUGGCAGGCAAGAAUGGAAACAGAGAGGCCAGGCCUCACUUUGUCUCUGUCACCGGGGCUGGAGUGCAGUGGUGCAGUCUCUGCUCACUGCAUCCUCAACCUUCCAGGCUCAAGGGAUCCUCCUGCCUCAGCCUCCUGAGUAGUUGGGACUACAGGCAUGCAUCACCAUACCCAG